rnacentral:sRNA from 1 species
GUUAAAGGAACUUCUACUAAAAACGCACACGUCCUAUGUGCAACGUAGAAGUCACCACAUCCUGUGGA